UGAGGAAUAUUGGUCAAUGGACGAAAGUCUGAACCAGCCAUGCCGCGUGCAGGAUGACUGCCCUAUGGGUUGUAAACUGCUUUUAUAUACCAAGAAACCCCAGAACGUGUUCUGGGCUGACGGUAGUAUAUGAAUAAGCACCGGCUAACUCCGUGCCAGCAGCCGCGGUAAUACGGAGGGUGCAAGCGUUAUCCGGAUUUAUUGGGUUUAAAGGGUCCGUAGGCGGGUUAUUAAGUCAGUGGUGAAAGCCUGCAGCUCAACUGUAGAACUGCCAUUGAUACUGAUAAUCUUGAGUGUAACUGGAGUAGGCGGAAUAUGUCAUGUAGCGGUGAAAUGCUUAGAUAUGACAUAGAACACCAAUCGCGAAGGCGGCUUACUAAGUUAUUACUGACGCUGAGGGACGAAAGCGUGGGGAGCGAACAGG
rnacentral:rRNA from 1 species